UUGCCUGCACCUGCCGGCGACCGGCGCACGGGUGAGUAACACGUAUGGAACCUGCCCGCCACAGGGGAUAACCCGGGGAAACCCGGCCUAAUACCCCAUGCAGCCCGGACCGGGCAUCCGGUCCGGGCGAAAGGAGGAAUCCGGUGGCGGCUGGGCAUGCGGCGCAUUAGCUUGACGGCGGGGUAACGGCCCACCGUGGCGACGAUGCGUAGGGGUUCUGAGAGGAAGGCCCCCCACACUGGAACUGAGACACGGUCCAGACUCCUACGGAAGGCAGCAG
rnacentral:rRNA from 1 species